UCGUUUGGACCUCUUAACGAUUCUAUAGAGUCUGAGUUCGGGUCCUUGAGGAGUUUGGAUGGUGGUUUGGAAAAUUUUAGUUUGGGAGGGAGGUUUGAUAGGAAUUUGGAGGAGCGGAAGCUUUCUGGUUCCGGUUUUGAUCUUUUGAAAGGGAAUGUGAAAGAGGGAUUCGCAAACAAUGGAAUUAGUGAAUUGGAAUUGUAUUGUGCCGAAGGGAAUUGUGGGGAAAGUUGUGGAAUCGAUAAUGACUUGGAUAGUAGGCAAGAAUUUGUUAAUGGGAGAACCAGUGAGAGGG
rnacentral:misc_RNA from 1 species